rnacentral:rRNA from 1 species
GGGGAAUAACAGCCGGAAACGGCUGCUAAUACCGCAUGAUGUAUCUGGAUCGCAUGGUUCUGGAUACCAAAGAUUUAUCGCUCUGAGAUGGACUCGCGUCUGAUUAGCUAGUUGGUGAGGUAACGGCUCACCAAGGCGACGAUCAGUAGCCGGACUGAGAGGUUGGCCGGCCACAUUGGGACUGAGACACGGCCCAGACU